rnacentral:sRNA from 1 species
UUGGCGAAUCGGUUGAGUAUCCUAACGGGCUUUUCAACUGAAGCCUCUUUUAACUAUAGGAGAUAUGUUAGUGGCCCGUAUAGCUGGCAUUAACGUCCCUGAC